rnacentral:rRNA from 1 species
UACGUAUGGUGCAAGCGUUAUCCGGAUUUACUGGGUGUAAAGGGAGCGUAGGCGGCCAUGCAAGUCAGAUGUGAAAGCCCGGGGCUCAACCCCGGGACUGCAUUUGAAACUGCGAGACUUGAGUACAGGAGAGGCAGGCGGAAUUCCUAGUGUAGCGGUGAAAUGCGUAGAUAUUAGGAAGAACACCGGUGGCGAAGGCGGCCUGCUGGACUGUAACUGACGCUGAGGCUCGAAAGCGUGGGGAGCAAAC